UUUUAAUGUUUUAUUUUCACCCAUUCAAUAUUUUACCGUUUUUACGUAUAUCAGCAGAGCAGUAACGCCAUCUCGUAUCGCAACACAGGGUUACAUGGUUAUUUAAAGAAAAAACAAACUGGAACUUUGUUGAUUCCUUAAACUUAAACCAUCGAUUAUGAGCACUCACGGGGUUCACGAGGUUUCCCAUAGCCUUGACGAUUUAAAACUAUUUCGUCAUUUUCCAGAAAUGUUUAUGCGUGAUAGUCAUGUUGCAUUUUCCAUGGAGCUACGACAUGUCAUAAUGUUUUAUUAAUUUUUUAAAGGAUACCUUUCCUGCAUUUUGUUUUACCAUUUAUUGAUAAAAACAGUAUCCUUUUCAAAGCGAGAUAUGUAUCGCAUCAACAUUAUAGGUACUCGAAGAUGUAGAUCACAGUGUGUCAGGUGGUGAUUCCCAGACAAAGUAAUCGCAUGUCCCGGCCAAAAUCCUCUAGAGUUAUAGUCAAGGGAGUUAUUUUUGUUUAGGGAAGGAUAAAAAAAAAACGAAUAUCCCAGCGUUCUCCAUUGGAUUCAGAAAUUCUGUUCGCCUUAAUCAUCGGGUGUAGCGAAGGAAGUUCAGUGUGAGAUAAUUUUUGUUUGUCUGCUCCAUCAUUUUAGAUCUUCAGCAACAUUUAUUGAUCGCUUAUUUCAAGUUUCGUUUUUUUAUGUAUGAAGAGAGAUGUACGAUUUCCGCAGAGCUUGUUAUAGAACUGAAGUGUUCGCCCUUUUUUUACAUUACGACGGUACAAGAAAGUAGACAUUGCCGAAUUUCCCAUUUCUAAACCUUACCAAUUUACGCCACCAGUCAUAGAACCCCGUUCUAUGACUCUGACGCCACCAAGAUUUAGAGGCUGUGUUGUAAGACUGCCAAAAGAAACGUAUAUUAAACUUUUUAAAAUAUUUUAUUUAUAUGAAAAAUAUGAAAAAUAUUAAUCUAUAAAAAUAUAUAAAAAAAUUUAAAAUCCGCAAUAGUUAUACUUAUUAUAUUGAAAUUCUCAUACGGGCGCAAUCAUGAUCCAAACGGAAAUAGGUAAAAUAGAAGAACCCUACCGUAAAAUAAGAUUUGCGCCGAAAAAUUAGUUUUAAACGUUUUUUCUUUUGCGCAAUAACGGACAUUUAGUAUUACAUUCCUGUCAUGUAACGUACGAACAUGUAUGAAAUCUACCUUUUAAUUGGCGCAGUACAUGCGGAAUCGGGGGUUGAUUAUUAGCAGAGUCAACGUGGAUUUGGGGAGACGCCACAUCGGAUGUCAAACUUUCAAACGGAAAAAUGAAGUUGACUGAACACGAAGCAAAAAUCGAAGUGUUCAGAUUUGCAUCUUCUUCCUAUUCCCUGCUUCAUAGGAAAACUUGGACAGCUUGGUGAACAUCGGGCAGCAUAAUUUGGCAAAUGAUCGGUUUUGUCAUAUUUUUUAUAUUUCUUCAUAUUUUUUCGUAUUUUUCGUAUUUUUUGCUUAAAAAUAUUGGGGUGUAGGAAUUUUUUUUUCGAGUUGACAAUGACAACCGCCCUGUCCUAGGCAAUCACAAAAGUUGUUCAAAAAAUGAUAAAACCAAAUAACUUCUGUCAUUAGACAAGGACAGUAGACUAUGUAUAUACGUAUAGUAGAUUUACUAUGUACAUAUUUUUUUUUUUUAUUUGUGCAUUUCAUAAGCGAUAGCUAUGAUUGUUGGGUUUGUAGAUUUAGCGAUUCUGGACGGAAAAUACUUACGGCGAAGCCUUGCAGUACGACUAGCAGGAGAAUGGUACUGGAAAUAUUGACAGUCGAGGGUGGGUUGAUGUCAUAGGCCUUUAGCAAGAAUGAAAAGCGACUGACAAGACGACUUACAAACAGGCAAGCUCCAUAAAAAGAUUGCUACAACCUACCACAUUCGUUAACAUUGAAAUUCAUGGCUUUUAUUCCAUGUACGUACAUUAACUUGUAUAACUAUAAUCACGUCUGCUGCUGCACUACCACCGGACACCAAAAGCUACAAUCAACGUCCAAUGAUGGAAGGCAAAUACUGAUUCACCUUCUCAGAUCAUGAGACUCUAUCUGAACUUCCAUCCUUACCAAUUGCUAUUUCCUUUCAAGAUCUGAUUCUGAUCUGAAAAGCUUGGCAAGCCUACCCAGAUCCAAACCCUUUAGGAAGUCAAGUUCCAGAAAGCUAGGUGCAGCCAGGUAAAUUUGCUUAUGAGAGUCACAGAUAUAGUGAAAACCACCAGACAGGAAUGUAAAAAAUGCAGAACUCACAUGGACAUGCAUUACCUUGCCAAUACCAGUCUUUUUCUAGUAUAACACUAUUUUGUCACCCUGUUUUCUGCAUUCAGCAUGCAAUUUUACUGAAAUCUAUACAUGGAAAAGUUCAGUUGUUAAGCCCACUGAGCUAUUAGGCUGUUAAUGAUGCCCAUGGUACAAUGUGGUAUACCUAUAACACCUGUAACAUUAUACUCACACCUCAGGAACCAUUGUGUUUCAUUUUCACAACAAAAAACUUUUUUUUUUAAUACUUACGUAUCAUUCACACAAGACACAAGUAGGUUGAAUUAUAUACUUUUUUCGGUUGAAAUCAACUGUUGCUUUCGACAUCCGGUCCAUUGCCAUGCAAUAGGCCUACCAACUUCUUAGCACUGAACACAUAUUUUUUCCCUCUAAUACUGCACUUCUUUCUAAUUAGCUUCAGCUGUGUAAGUGAAAUUAGUGUUCAAAAUUUCGACAUUCCAGAUGAUUGUGAAACAAAAAGAAUUAAAUUAGACAUCGUUUAUUCUUUAUUGUAACGAUUCUUUAUUAUAACGAAAGCAAACAACAGCCUUCAUUAAACAAAUUAGUCAGGUUGCUAGGU